UUAAUAUGAUUAGAAUGUGGUUCUACAGGCAUUAGACCUACAGGUAAUUGGGAAUCCGGUGUGAAUCCGGAACAACUGUCAUUACUGUAUUUGGGAUAACCAUAAGUCAGAUUACUCCCACAUUUUAUUCGGUAAA
rnacentral:ncRNA from 2 species